UACGUAGGGGGCUAGCGUUGUCCGGAAUCAUUGGGCGUAAAGCGCGUGUAGGCGGUUCGGUAAGUCCGCUGUGAAAGUCGGGGGCUCAACCCUCGAAUGCCGGUGGAUACUGUCGGACUAGAGUACGGAAGAGGCGAGUGGAAUUCCUGGUGUAGCGGUGAAAUGCGCAGAUAUCGGGAGGAACACCAAUGGCGAAGGCAGCUCGCUGGGACGGUACUGACGCUGAGGCGCGAAAGCGUGGGGAGCAAACAGGG
rnacentral:rRNA from 1 species